ACAGGUAAGCUACUCCUACUUUACCCUCUGUCCUCACAGCCCUUUCUUUCUCCCUUCUUAUCUCCCCCUCUCUCUGUUUCUCUCUGUCCUACCUCAUAAAAAUUAGAAAAAAGGGGGAAAUGGCCACUAGGAACAGUGGGCUCAUAGUGCCAGCACCAAACCCCAGCAAU